AGAGGUGUAUACAUAUCAUCCAGACCCAACAUGUGGCAAAGGUUUGAUUAAAUUUGAUAGUGUUCAAAUUCAAGAGGGAUGGUCCAUUUUUAAGCUAAUAUUACUGUUUUUAGCUUAUAAAUGUAACUUUUGUCUUCUUUUUGCCUCCUUUUCUAUUCUACUUUAUACUUUUUGUACUGAUCUAUAUGUCAGCAUAUGGACUGCUAACCAUUUUUAUAUUUUCAAUUAUAUGCCACACCCACAUCAUAUUGUUAUGUCCCUAUUGACCAUUUUAAUAUUGACACAAUAAUGUGUGGUAUAAUUUCUCAUUACUGAGAUUCCUAAACAGCAUUCAUUCAUGUUUACUAGAUACCCAUUUUUGACAUGGGAUGGAAUGUCGUAUGCAUAUUGCAGCAUGGUGAAUUAUUUCUUCCUUUCAAUGUGUAGCAAAGAGAAUGAAAAGUUUGCUUCCUUCAAUGGUUGCAUGAUGUCAUUCUCAGCACAGUAAUAUCCAUUUCCAGCUUAGUGUAACUGUUGAUGUGUCUGAAAUUUAACUGCCUAUAUUGCAUUGCCUUUGUCACUCUUUAAACCAUUUGUUUGUAUUUAUGGCAAAACCUUGCAAUUUUUUUAAGACAUCAACUGGAACUUAAUUGCAGGUUGAUCCUGUUUCAGCAGGA
rnacentral:misc_RNA from 1 species